AAGGGUCUGGCAGAGUCGGGCAGCUGAGGCAGGACCCAGAGAAAGAUGAAGGCAAUUGCUCUCUGAGCCGAGCUGGGGACACAGAAAUCCGGGAUGGGACUGGCGGGCUAAGGAAAAGGCCCCGUUUGUCACACAUGGAGGGGCUCGUGUUGGGCGUGGCCCAUGGGAUCAGGAGGACUUGGGGGCUGCCCGGCAGGGUGUGGGCAGGGAGGGUGGGGGGUCCAGUAGGAGACGCAGGGGCCUCCAUGUGAGUGCCUAGGGACCUUUGGGGCCACAUUCUUAUUGCUGUCGCCUUUAACCAUCACCGCCCUGGGAGGCUGUUUCUGCUCCUCUAUGCCUGCAGACCCGGAGAGGUGGGCCGGGAAAGGAGUCAUGCGCAUCCAUAGCCACACAGCUGGUCAGUGCCGCCGUGAGCCAACCUGGGAACUGCGAGCCCAGAUUCCGCCUGGCGAUGGCUUGGGAAAGUGGGCACGGGGGCAGCACUGGCCAAUCCCAUCCCAGGCUAAGAGGCUAUUUUUGUUCAGCAAAAGACAAAUGCACGGCUGCCUCAGGCCCCAGAAGAACUGUGCUGGACGCCAGACAAACUUCCAGGGACAGGCCUAGGAUGGCACCAGCUCGAUCUGCGUGUGGUGGAAUUUGGUCCGGGUGAGAGCCUUCUUGUCCAGCUUGCUCUGCCCCUCGGCCUGGGUCAUGAUGGUCUGUCUGCGAGCCACCACCAUCUCCAUGUCCCGGAUCAUCUUCUCCUGCUGUUUUAGCAGCUGCCCGUGCUUGACCUGGGGACACAGGACUGGCAGGGACACAGUGAGGAGGCUGGGCAGCAGGCACGGAAUACACUCAGCCCAUCAUCCUUGCCA